rnacentral:lncRNA from 1 species
CUAAAAACAGGUGUUUGUCUGUUUUGUAAGGUAUUUGGUUUUUAUUGUUAAUAUGUAAAACACAGAGCCUCUCCCAUUCCGUCAAGUUUCUGCAACUCACACUUGAAAACCUGCCAAACCAGAGGGAAGCUGCUGCACAAAGACAAAGCCAUCUGUGAUCACAGAGGAUCUGGCUCGACUUGUCAAAGCUUGAUUAGAUAAGGAAGAUAAGGAUCUCUACCAGGACUCUUUUUCAGUAAAAGUAUGUCCAUAGCAAGACUUAAUGUGAACACAUAAAAUGUAUACCUGUAUAAUUUACAAUACACUUGUUUGCCAUUUAAUAUCUCUCCACACAACAGUAAAUUUUCCCCCUUUUAUUGUUUAAGAGCACAAUGGACAUGCACAGAGGAAGUCUGCAGGAAUUCCUGGCAUCCUGAGCUUAGGGCAAGGAGAUUUCCAGCAGUUAUUCCAUCAUCGUUUGAGGAGAGGAGGCUCUUCCUCCUGAUGGGUGGGACUUAGCAGUUGGACUAGCUCUAUAUCUGACCAGUGAGCAGAGCGGAUUCCCUCUGAGAUGUUGGGAGCACUUCAAAACCUCAAUGUCUCUGAUGCCAGCUGAGUCUGACUGCUUACCAGCGCAGAUUUGGAAACUGUGCUGUCCACGAACUUCAGAGACAGAGUUACCUGCCAAAAUCCAUAUAACACCGUGUACCUGCAUCCGAGAAUCUGAGGCUGUUCACGACACAUUAGGAAUCUAAAAGGUUUGAUAUACAGUUGGGAGACAGAUCACAUAUAAAAUUGACCUUAUUGGUGCUUUGCAAGUUUAGCACAAAUCAUUACUAGUGUUAUAAUUAACAAGUGUAUAUUCAUUGUCGUUAUACAUUUACCACUAUGCUACUAAUGUAUGAAGAAGGCAGAGCAAAGUUAAAGGGGAUAAAUUACAAUUUACCUUUGUAUGUUUACACAGGGUAGUGAUGGGAAGGGAAUCCACUAUGGAGAAACUCCAUGGGAAAAGUCAUACUCAAUAACUGCUAUAGUUUUUGCAAUGAAAAUCAUGUAAAAGGCCAGCCAUAGUAAAAAUCAUGAAAACUAAACCCAAAUCAACACUUUACAUGAAGAUUAUAACCGUAAUGAAGUUUGGAAAUAUUGCAUUUGCAUUUGUGGAAAAUGUAUACAAAGAAAUAAAAUGCAAAUUUAAGCAACUCUUUCUGUGUU